AUACGGAGGAUGCGAGCGUUAUCCGGAUUUAUUGGGUUUAAAGGGAGCGUAGGUGGGAUAUUAAGUCAGCUGUGAAAGUUUGGGGCUCAACCUUAAAAUUGCAGUUGAUACUGGUUUCCUUGAGUACGGUAUAGGUGGGCGGAAUUCGUGGUGUAGCGGUGAAAUGCUUAGAUAUCACGAAGAACUCCGAUCGCGAAGGCAGCUUACCGGGCCGGAACUGACACUGAUGCUCGAAAGUGCGGGUAUCAAACAGGAUUAGAUACCCUGGUAGUCCGCACAGUAAACGAUGAAUACUCGCUGUUUGCGAUACACUGUAAGCGGCCAAGCGAAAGCGUUAAGUAUUCCACCUGGGGAGUACGCCGGCAACGGUGAAACUCAAAGGAAUUGACGGGG
rnacentral:rRNA from 1 species